GAAAAAUAAUUACUAUGCGAUACAUGUUGCGCCGCAGGAAAAAGAAGAAGAAAAAAAGACGCAGUAUACUAAUGACAGCCACCUCCAUGCUGACUGCUUUGACUUCUGAACAGAGCGAGCCAGCCCGGGUAAAGCCGUAAUUACCUCUCAAGGAUAAACGAUAAUAUCACUUUCCUCAUCACGUCUUUGGGGCGAGACGGUCGACGCUGCACUCUCAUAGGCAAACGAAGCGACUUCUAUAUAAGACGGUUCGUCCGCAACGCUUUCCGGACUGAGCUGGAAUGUCAAGUGAAUGCCACUUGAUUGUUUUCAGGUGGAUUCACUUGACAUUCCAGCUCAGGUUUUUCCGUGCGGGUGUUUGACUGGAAAAGCAGACUAAGGUGAGUACAUGCUUUUUUAUCUUCUCUUGUUAUAAGUUCUUCCCCUGUGAGCGUGCAAGGUCACAGCCAUUUAUGGAAUGCAUGUAGGUGAAAGAAAAAAAGAAAAGAGGUUCAUUCCUUCCCGCUGCCGACAUGCAAUCUUUGUGAUUUUAAAGUGCACCUUCUUAGAUCAUCGCAGUAGAUGAAAUGAAAAAAUAAACGAUUGCAAACAGUACAACAUUAUUUUUUUAUUUAGGACAUUGCAUUGCGUUGUAUGUUUUGGAGGACAUUGCUAAUUUACAAGUCGGCUUCACCUAACUUCUACGUGCGUUGCGGGAAGUCAACGUUAGGAAAUGCUCAGUCUUGCUGGAUUGCUUGUUUCUUUGCAUUUCAAUUCAGCGGAACGGUGUUUUUUUUAAUUGUUUGACUUUGGUUCUUCAUAAAACAUAUUUUCCAGUUCAUCGUCUUUGUUGUAACUACUCCGACGAGGUUGAAGGGUCAUCUCACAUUUUGGGCUUGUAAGAUCGACUUCUUCUAAGCAUUUUUUUUUAGCUUCUCUUUUUCAUUUCAUGUUCGGGUAACAACAGAACACUUCACCUGCACGUCAAUGGCAAACAGGUCAGAAAGAAAGGAAUGUGUCUACCUUCAUUUGUGAGAUGUAGCUAGUCUUCACCCAACUCCUACGUGCAUUGGGGGAAAGCCUACUUUAGGAAAUGUUCAGUCUUGUUACUGCAUGUUUCUUUGCAUUUAAACUUAGCGAAACGGUGUUUUUUUUUUAUCGUUUGAUUUUGCUUUGACAUAAAACAUAUUUUCCAGUUCAUCUUCCUUCUUUUGCCGUAACUACUCCGAAGAGGUUGAAGGGAAGAGUUUGAGAUCUUCCUUGACAACAAGGCAAAAAUGUGUGCUAUACAAUGGAGAAGAGGUGGAAAACUUUUUUUUUUCAAGUUAAUCCACUCGGGAUUCCAGAUGAAGAUUUUUUUUCUCCGUGAGAGUGUUUGACUGGAAAGACAGACUGUGGUAAGUACAUGGAUUUGCCCUCCUCUUUUGCAAUACAUAUACUAUAUAUAAUGCUUUUCUAUGAACAUGCAAGUCAUUUAUGGAAAUGCAAAUAUGAGGAACGACAAGGUUUCAUGCCUCUCGCUUUCAGUGGCGACAUGCAGGUCUUUGUGAUUUAAGGAAUGCUUUCCUAGCCCAUCACAGGAAGUGAAAACGUUUGCAAACAGUUACAUUUUUUUUUUUAUUUAGAUACAAGGACAGUGAGAUCACAGCCCUUUUAGAUAGUGAGAUUCCAUAGCCAGAGUGAUGUCGACCAAUUGUUCUGCCAAGAGAGUAAAUGUUGCCUGGGCAGCGGCGAAGUUUUAACUCACGUUCUAAGCACAAACAGCAUACAUCUGAGCAUUCGUUAUCGUAAUAGGUCCUUGUAAGAUUGGCUGUCUCUAAGCAUUUUUGCAGCUGGCGUGUUUCGUUUCGUGUUAGGGUAACACCAGAACGCUUCGGUUUACCGUUUUCACUCCAAAUGCGUACCACAAGCAAGUCAGAAGGGCACGAAUGUACAUAAACAUAUUUUUCCAGUUCAGCUUCUUUGCUGCAAUUGCCCUGAUGAAGCUGAAGGGAAGAGGAUGGAAGCUUCGUUAGCUCGAUGAUCACCACAACAAGCAAAAACGUGUGCCACACAACGGAGAAGAGAACACACAAACAUCUAUCCAUGUCUGUUCACUCACAAUGAAAUGAGAGGGCUUAGUACAAAUGUACAUUUUUAUUUCCCUGAUACAUGAGCGGUGAUUAUUUUUUUUUAUGCUCCAUUGUGCACCAGUCGAUGUUUGAAGAGGUCAAGUGUUAGCUUGCUGAUGUAGCCUGUUAAGUAGUGCCAACCUUCAGACUCGGCUUGUUCCAUGAAACAUAGACUCUCGGCAGCAAGAUGCAUAGCGUCAACCUCGUCAGCAUAUGUCAAAAUUUCGUCCACGUGACGUGACCAUUCAGCAAGUAAGGCAAAAGUUUUCCAAGUAACCCUGUCAGGAGGUUGAUCUGGCAGCGCUUGAAACAACACCAUAUCCGUCACAAUUUUAAAAGCUUCCACGAGCGAAGUUUUGCCUACUUGUGUUAACCCACAUUCCAAUAUCUCUUUGUAGGAGACGUGUUUGAGACGACACACAGGCUGCAUCCGAAAUUCGUGUGUGUAACCUCUUCUCCAUCUGCCACACACAUCUCUACCUAGCACAGGCUGCUCUUCAUCUGCGUCUGAUGAUGACAACCAUGCGCCAUCAAGCCGAGGAUCAACCUCAGGCCAUGUUGUGUCAUCGGCGGCUGACUUGUCUUGACUGGUCAUUACAAACCAAGUUCAUUCUAUACAGCAAGAGGAGAAAGCAAAUUGUCAACAUAACAGCGAAGCCUCCAUAACACAAGUAAGCUAUGUCAUCCGUCAUGGAAAAGUUGGAUAAACUGAAAAAAUGUGGUGACGGUGAAAUUCAGAAAAUGAGCAACAUACCCAAAAACGAAAAGUUCGAAGUGCUGGACAUUCAGAAAAUUGACACUAUGUAUGGCGAGGCCGUAUACGUGGAGCUCCGCAUGGAAAACGACAAGCCAGUGAAAGUGUAUCUACCUGGACGCUUCAAAAAAUUGUCGGAGGAAGAGCUAGAGGAAAUGCGACUGCUUCCAAAUCUCAAAAUGGAGAAGAAAGAACGGUUUACCAAAGAUGGUAAAAAAGUCAUUUCGCCAGAUAUUAUCUUCACCAAUUCGAAGAGAAAGUGAUGAGAUAUGGUGACGUGUCACUUAUGCUCCCAGCACGAACGGCAGUAUUAUGCAACAGCAUUAGGUCUUCAGAUUCACUUGGCAAAUGUUCACAAUCUUCAAGCCCCCUGCAUUCCUUUUUGUGAGACUUUGUGCACACUGCGAAACUAUACUAAUCGGUUCGAGCUACAUUUACACGACAGGGACGUUAGCGGACAUGAUGUUACAACCUUUUUUCACGAGUACAGACAGUACAUUGCUGAUGUCUUACGACACUUUGGUUUCCCACUGCGCUAUUUUGUAUUGCUUAAAGUGGAACUUGGUCGUCACACGCCAGACGAUGAGUUACAGCUCGAAAUUAGUUUCGUGCCUUCCAAAGUAGUGACAGUAUGGUCAGAGGCAGAUGUAGAACCUUCUAUCACUCAAGUGACUGCUGAAAUAGCACAAAAUUUGGAAAACCUCGAAGUAGAAGGUUCAGGUUUUUUUCUCUUUCGCAUUCAUGCCUGUAUCAUGAACAUUGGACGUUUGAUGCCUCAACUGAUUGGAUGUGCCCAGUUUGAGUUACCGCAAGAAUUGAAGCAUAAGUUUCGUUCUCUGUUGUGUGUGGACUUUGGUUUGCAUGAAGAUGAGCAGAACAUGUGUUUUGCCUUCUCUGUAAUAGCUGCACUGCAUCCUGCUACUGGUUAUCGCAGGCGUAGGGCAUCUUCGUACAGACCAUAUAUUUCUGAGUAUGUUUUUCCGAAAACAUUCCCGGUAGCCU